rnacentral:rRNA from 1 species
UCCGUAGGUGAACCUGCGGAGGGAUCAUUACCGAGUUCAUGCCCUUACGGGUAGAUCUCCCACCCUAUGUUGUUAUUACCUUUGUUGCUUUGGCGGGCCGUCAGGCUUCGGUCAGGCUACCGGCUCCGGCUGGUAUGCGCCCGCCAGAGAACCCCAAACCCUGAAUAUUAGUGUCGUCUGAGUACUAUAUAAUAGUUAAAACAUUCAACAACGGAUCUCUUGGUUCUGGCAUCGAUGAAGAACGCAGCGAAAUGCGAUAAGUAAUGUGAAUUGCAGAAUUCAGUGAAUCAUCGAAUCCUUGAACGCACAUUGCGCCCCUUGGUAUUCCGGGGGGCAUGCCUGUUCGAGCGUCAUUACAACCCUCAGGCAUUGCUUGGUAUUGGGCUCCGCUGUUUAUCCAGCGGGCCUUAAAACCAGUGGCGGUGCCAUUGGGCCCUGAGCGUAGUAAAUAUCCUCGCUAUAGGGACCCUGUGGUUACUAGCCAACAACCCCCACUUUUUAAGUUUGACCUCGGAUCAGGUAGGGAUACCCGCUGAACUUAAGCAUAUC